rnacentral:rRNA from 1 species
AAGGAGGAGCUUGCUUCUCUGGAUGAGUUGCGAACGGGUGAGUAACGCGUAGGUAACCUGCCUGGUAGCGGGGGAUAACUAUUGGAAACGAUAGCUAAUACCGCAUAACAGUAGAUGUUGCAUGACAUUUGCUUAAAAGGUGCAAUUGCAUCACUACCAGAUGGACCUGCGUUGUAUUAGCUAGUUGGUGGGGUAACGGCUCACCAAGGCGACGAUACAUAGCCGACCUGAGAGGGUGAUCGGCCACACUGGGACUGAGACACGGCCCAGACUCCUACGGGAGGCAGCAGUAGGGAAUCUUCGGCAAUGGACGGAAGUCUGACCGAGCAACGCCGCGUGAGUGAAGAAGGUUUUCGGAUCGUAAAGCUCUGUUGUAAGAGAAGAACGAGUGUGAGAGUGGAAAGUUCACACUGUGACGGUAUCUUACCAGAAAGGGACGGCUAACUACGUGCCAGCAGCCGCGGUAAUACGUAGGUCCCGAGCGUUGUCCGGAUUUAUUGGGCGUAAAGCGAGCGCAGGCGGUUAGAUAAGUCUGAAGUUAAAGGCUGUGGCUUAACCAUAGUACGCUUUGGAAACUGUUUAACUUGAGUGCAAGAGGGGAGAGUGGAAUUCCAUGUGUAGCGGUGAAAUGCGUAGAUAUAUGGAGGGACACCGGUGGCGAAAGCGGCUCUCUGGCUUGUAACUGACGCUGAGGCUCGAAGCGUGGGGAGCAAACAGG